GGGAGGACCUACCUGGGGAAGGUGGCACACCCCCCACACCCUGCCUGCUACCCUAGGGAUGAGGGGAGGAGCCUCUCCCAGCCAGGAGUUGUCUCCUCCCCUUUGGGGGAACCCCCCUCCCCCCAAACUGGAUCUUCCAGGGGUUGAGGGCUCUUUCUGUCUGCUGGAGAUCUGAGCGGAGGGGCUCUGCCCGGGUCCACUGUUGAGGCGCACGGAAGUUGAGGGACGAGGUCUUCCACUCUCCAGCAAGCUGGAGCCGAUUGCCGCGGGUUCCCUGGAGGGUCCGGGCUUGUGCGUGUCAGGACGCCUCUCGGCGACAGCUUAUAAAGGGUUAUGGAGACUGCCGUGAAGUUAAAGUUUACUCUUAUCUUGGAGGUCAGUGACUGCUUCUUGGAUCAGAAGAUGCAUAAAAGGAGAGAUGAGCUUGUCAUAGAGAAAUAAACGUCGGAGAUGGUGUCUUGUGGUAGUUCUGGCUCCAUAAAUUUGUGCAAGGCCCUUGUUUCUGGAGUCACAGUCAUCCAAGAGGGGAAUUGGAUACUCUGGCCUGCCUACUAAUAUGGAUGUCGCAGUCACCAAAGGAAACGACUUGUGUGGAGACGCUCUUUAACGCCGUACAGUAUGCAAGGGACAGGGUUUCCCUGUGGCUUUGGAGGUUGUCCUGGAACUAGCUCUUGUAGACCAGGCUGGUCUCGAACUCACAGAUGUCCGCCUGCCUCUACCUCCCAAGUUCAAGAUUAAAGGCGCACGCCACCAAUGCCC
rnacentral:lncRNA from 1 species